rnacentral:pre_miRNA from 1 species
CCGAGACGGGCGGAUCACGAGGUCAGGAGAUCGAGACCANUAGCCAGGAUGGUCUCGAUCUCCUGACCUCGUGAUCCGCCCGUCUCGG